rnacentral:rRNA from 1 species
AGAACGAACGCUGGCGGCGUGCUUAAGACAUGCAAGUCGUACGGAAAGGCCCCUUCGGGGGUACUCGAGUGGCGCACGGGUGAGUAACGCGUGGGUAAUCUGCCUUUGGGUCUGGGACAACCCCGGGAAACUGGGGCUAAUACCGGAUAAGACUACGACGUCUUCGGACGAUGUGGAAAAAGAUGGCCUCUCGUAGAAGCUAUCGCCCGCCGAUGAGCCCGCGUCCCAUUAGCUUGUUGGUGAGGUAACGGCUCACCAAGGCAUCGAUGGGUAGCUGGUCUGAGAGGAUGAUCAGCCACACUGGAACUGAGACACGGUCCAGACUCCUACGGGAGGCAGCAGUCGGGAAUCUUGGGCAAUGGGCGAAAGCCUGACCCAGCAACGCCGCGUGAGGGAUGAAGGCCUUCGGGUCGUAAACCUCUGUCGGGAGGGAAGAACGGUGACGUUUCUAAUAGGCUCGUCACCUGACGGUACCUCCAAAGGAAGCACCGGCUAACUCCGUGCCAGCAGCCGCGGUAAUACGGAGGGUGCAAGCGUUGUUCGGAAUCACUGGGCGUAAAGCGCGUGUAGGCGGCUUGGCAAGUCGAAUGUGAAAGCCCGGGGCCCAACCCCGGAAUUGCAUUCGAAACUGCCUGGCUAGAGUCUCGGAGAGGAAGGCAGAAUUCCCGGUGUAGGGGUGAAAUCCGUAGAUAUCGGGAGGAAUACCAGUGGCGAAGGCGGCCUUCUGGACGAUGACUGACGCUGAGACGCGAAAGCGUGGGGAGCAAACAGGAUUAGAUACCCUGGUAGUCCACGCCGUAAACGUUGUGAGCUAGGUGUCACGGGUAUUGACCCCUGUGGUGCCGUCGUUAACGCUUAGCUCACCGCCUGGGGAGUACGGUCGCAAGACUA